GAGUGGGUUGCAAAAGAAGUAGGUAGCUUAACCUUCGGGAGGGCGCUUACCACUUUGUGAUUCAUGACUGGGGUGAAGUCGUAACAAGGUAACCGUAGGGGAACCUGCGGUUGGAUCACCUCCUUACCUGAAGAUACCUUCCGGCGCAGUGUCCACACAGAUUGUCUGAUAAAAAGUAACGAGCAAAGUCACACCAGAGUCCCCAUCGUCUAGAGGCCCAGGACACUGCCCUUUCACGGCUGUAACAGGGGUUCGAAUCCCCUUGGGGACGCCAUACCGGUAACGAAGUGAAAGACGUUAUCACCCGUAUCUCAAAACUGAUUCCGCGAAAGCGAGUCACGUUUGAGAUAUUUGCUCUUUAACAAUCCGGAACAAGCUGAAAAUUGAAACGACAUGUCGUGUUCAUUCUCCGUAAUCAGAAUGAAGCCACGAUAUGUUCGAGUCUCUCAAUGCCUGCAACCGACACACGUCUUUCGGGACGCUUGUGGGUUGUGAGGUUAAGCGACUAAGCGUACACGGUGGAUGCCCAGGCAGUCAGAGGCGAUGAAGGGCGUGCUAAUCUGCGAUAAGCGUCGGUAAGGUGAUAUGAACCGCAAUACCCGACGAUACCCGAAUGGGGAAACCCAGUGCAAUCCGUUGCACUAUCAUGUCAUGAAUACAUAGUGGCAUGAGGCGAACCGGGGGAACUGAAACAUCUAAGUACCCCGAGGAAAAGAAAUCAACCGAGAUUCCCCCAGUAGCGGCGAGCGAACGGGGAACAGCCCAGAACCUGAAUCAGUUUGUGCCUUAGUGGAAGCGUCUGGAAAGUCGCGCAGUAAAGGGUGACAGCCCCGUACACAAAAAGGCACUUGCUGUGAGUUCGAUGAGUAGGGCGGGACACGUGACAUCCUGUCUGAAUAUGGGGGGACCAUCCUCCAAGGCUAAAUACUCCUGACUGACCGAUAGUGAACCAGUACCGUGAGGGAAAGGCGAAAAGAACCCCGGCGAGGGGAGUGAAACAGAACCUGAAACCGUGUACGUACAAGCAGUGGGAGCACCUUCGUGGUGUGACUGCGUACCUUUUGUAUAAUGGGUCAGCGACUUAUAUUCUGUAGCAAGGUUAACCGUAUAGGGGAGCCGCAGGGAAACCGAGUCUUAACUGGGCGUUAAGUUGCAGGGUAUAGACCCGAAACCCGGUGAUCUAGCCAUGGGCAGGUUGAAGGUUGGGUAACACUAACUGGAGGACCGAACCGACUAAUGUUGAAAAAUUAGCGGAUGACCUGUGGCUGGGGGUGAAAGGCCAAUCAAACCGGGAGAUAGCUGGUUCUCCCCGAAAGCUAUUUAGGUAGCGCCUCGUGAACUCAUCUCCGGGGGUAGAGCACUGUUUCGGCUAGGGGGCCAUCCCGGCUUACCAACCCGAUGCAAACUGCGAAUACCGGAGAAUGUUAUCACGGGAGACACACGGCGGGUGCUAACGUCCGUCGUGAAGAGGGAAACAACCCAGACCGCCAGCUAAGGUCCCAAAGUCAUGGUUAAGUGGGAAACGAUGUGGGAAGGCACAGACAGCCAGGAUGUUGGCUUAGAAGCAGCCAUCAUUUAAAGAAAGCGUAAUAGCUCACUGGUCGAGUCGGCCUGCGCGGAAGAUGUAACGGGGCUAAACCAUGCACCGAAGCUGCGGCAGCGGACGUAUCACCCAAGCAGAUUCACUGAAGUGGAUAACGAUUGACGGAGCGCAGCGACGUCAAUGCGCCAUCAAAGUCGAGUCGACUUCGGGAUACGUCCGUUGGGUAGGGGAGCGUUCUGUAAGCCGUCGAAGGUGUGCUGUGAGGCAUGCUGGAGGUAUCAGAAGUGCGAAUGCUGACAUAAGUAACGAUAAAGCGGGUGAAAAGCCCGCUCGCCGGAAGACCAAGGGUUCCUGUCCAACGUUAAUCGGGGCAGGGUGAGUCGACCCCUAAGGCGAGGCCGAAAGGCGUAGUCGAUGGGAAACGGGUUAAUAUUCCCGUACUGGGUGUUACUGCGAAGGGGGGACGGAGAAGGCUAUGUUAGCCGGGCGACGGUUGUCCCGGUUUAAGCGUGCAGGCUUGAGUUCCAGGCAAAUCCGGAACUCUUUAAGGCUGAGGCGUGAUGACGAGGCACCACGGUGCUGAAGUAACAAAUGCCCUGCUUCCAGGAAAAGCCUCUAAGCAUCAGGUAACAUCCAAUCGUACCCCAAACCGACACAGGUGGUCAGGUAGAGAAUACCAAGGCGCUUGAGAGAACUCGGGUGAAGGAACUAGGCAAAAUGGUGCCGUAACUUCGGGAGAAGGCACGCUGGCGCGUAGGUGAAGGACUUGCUCGUGGAGCUGAAGCCAGUCGAAGAUACCAGCUGGCUGCAACUGUUUAUUAAAAACACAGCACUGUGCAAACACGAAAGUGGACGUAUACGGUGUGACGCCUGCCCGGUGCCGGAAGGUUAAUUGAUGGGGUUAUCCGCAAGGAGAAGCUCUUGAUCGAAGCCCCGGUAAACGGCGGCCGUAACUAUAACGGUCCUAAGGUAGCGAAAUUCCUUGUCGGGUAAGUUCCGACCUGCACGAAUGGCGUAAUGAUGGCCAGGCUGUCUCCACCCGAGACUCAGUGAAAUUGAACUCGCUGUGAAGAUGCAGUGUACCCGCGGCAAGACGGAAAGACCCCGUGAACCUUUACUACAGCUUGACACUGAACAUUGAGCCUUGAUGUGUAGGAUAGGUGGGAGGCUUCGAAGCGUGGACGCCAGUCUGCGUGGAGCCAACCUUGAAAUACCACCCUUUAACGUUUGAUGUUCUAACCUGGCGCCGUUACCCGGCGUGGGGACAGUGUCUGGUGGGUAGUUUGACUGGGGCGGUCUCCUCCCAAAGAGUAACGGAGGAGCACGAAGGUCAGCUAAUCACGGUCGGACAUCGUGAGGUUAGUGCAAUGGCAUAAGCUGGCUUGACUGCGAGAGUGACGGCUCGAGCAGGUGCGAAAGCAGGUCAUAGUGAUCCGGUGGUUCUGAAUGGAAGGGCCAUCGCUCAACGGAUAAAAGGUACUCCGGGGAUAACAGGCUGAUACCGCCCAAGAGUUCAUAUCGACGGCGGUGUUUGGCACCUCGAUGUCGGCUCAUCACAUCCUGGGGCUGAAGUAGGUCCCAAGGGUACGGCUGUUCGCCGUUUAAAGUGGUACGCGAGCUGGGUUUAGAACGUCGUGAGACAGUUCGGUCCCUAUCUGCCGUGGGCGCUGGAAGAUUGAGAGGGGUUGCUCCUAGUACGAGAGGACCGGAGUGAACGCACCGCUGGUGUUCGGGUUGUCAUGCCAAUGGCAUUGCCCGGUAGCUAAGUGCGGAAAAGAUAAGCGCUGAAAGCAUCUAAGCGCGAAACUUGCCUCGAGAUGAAUCUUCCCUGACUCCUUGAGAGUCCUGAAGGGACGUUGAAGACGACGACGUUGAUAGGCCGGGUGUGUAAGCGCAGCGAUGCGUUGAGCUAACCGGUAC
rnacentral:rRNA from 1 species